rnacentral:lncRNA from 1 species
UUCAUGUGUGGAGAAGGAACCCUCUAACUAGCCUUUCACCAUUCUAUUUCAUCAAUUUCCUGAGUCUUUAAUUUUUUUUACAAAGUUUAUGUUUUAAAAGUUCAAAUUCGUCAAAACCAAACCCCUUGCUUUUAAGUCUUGUUUUUAGAGUCAAAACCUGUUUUCUUUUGAUCUUUUGAGUCUUUUAAGUUCUAUUUUCGUCCAAAUCACUUAUUAGGUCUAGAAUUGAGUCUUUUUUUAUUGUUUCUUGCUGUUUUGAGUGUUUUGAGUUAGUUUUGAGUCUAUAGAGUCUAGUUUAGUGUUUUUUAGUCUUAUUUGUGUUGAUUAGCAUCCCUAGUUAAUCCCCGGUCUAGAACGAUCCCUACUUGCAUCAUUACUACAAUUGUCAUCAAUAGGGUUUAAUUUGUGUGUCAACUUAAUUUUCACAUCACUCCUGGUAGUGUAUCCGGGCAUCCCUGAUGUCGAGAUAAGCAUCCAAUCGCGCAACACGUGUUAUUUCAUCGGUCGUAAGGCCGAAAAGAGAAACAGCCGAAAAUACUUCGAAGUGAUAUCGUAAAUACUGAAGGUCCUCCA